GGCAUAAGCUCAGAGAAGUCAUACGAACAGCUCAGAUGUGAAAGAAACUUGAUAAGUGUUUUCUCAAAUUUGAUAGAAAGUCUAAAAUCUACAUGAUGUUAUCAAUAAUGAGUAAAUAUUACAAAAUUGCGAUUUGUAUAAAGAGACAAAGAUAAAGAAUUUGCCAGCUGAAAGGGUGAAUAAACGCUGAAAAUAUGGAUUCCAAAAAUUGUUGCCCCUCAGAAAUGUAAGGACAAAAAGCAUUAUAAGGAUGUGUCAGGCAAUCAAUAAAAAUAUAAUUUUCUAUGAA